GGGCCUGUAGCUCAGGCGGUUAGAGCGCACCCCUGAUAAGGGUGAGGUCGGUGGUUCAAGUCCACCCAGGCCCC
rnacentral:tRNA from 1 species